CCUUUUCCUUUCCUCCGCUCUUCCCAGAAGGUGAAAUGUCGAAGAGUGGAUAGACACACCUCCAGGGCCCAAAGUCCACGGCCACAGGGGCGCCAUUCACUCUCCGGACUCAUUCGUUAAAACUCCUUUGGGAGUCUUGGCUCAGGGUUAGCAGAUGCCAGAACCUUGCCUUUUGAUGCAGUGCGAAUCCAGUCCAAAAGAAGAGGAGAUCCCGUCCCUCUUUUGGGGUCUGGAUCCCGUGUUUCUAGCCUUUGCAAAACUCUACAUCAAGGACAUCCUGGAGAUGAAGGAGUCCCAACAAGUGCCAGGCAUGUAUUUUUACAAUGGACAUCCAAUAAGACGGGUGGAUAUCAUGGGAGCUGUCAUCAGUGUGAAAGAGAGAGAGACUUUCUACAGCUAUGGAGGUAAGAGCAGUCACCUCUGAAACUCAGUUUUCCCCACGCAGCUGAAAGUUGAAUUUUCACCUCAUGCUUGUGAGCAGCUGGGGCCUCACAAACAAAAAAAAAACAACAAAAAAAAAAAAACAAAACAAAAAAACCCAAACAAACCAAAAACAAAACAAAACAAACAACCAAACAACAACAACAAAAAAA
rnacentral:lncRNA from 1 species